UACGUAGGGUGCAAGCGUUGUCCGGAAUUAUUGGGCGUAAAGAGCUCGUAGGCGGUCUGUCGCGUCGAAUGUGAAAACCCGGGGCUCAACCCCGGGCCUGCAUUCGAUACGGGCAGACUAGAGUUCGGUAGGGGAGUCUGGAAUUCCUGGUGUAGCGGUGAAAUGUGCAGAUAUCAGGAGGAACACCGGUGGCGAAGGCGGGUCUCUGGGCCGAUACUGACGCUGAGGAGCGAAAGCGUGGGGAGCGAACAGG
rnacentral:rRNA from 1 species